rnacentral:rRNA from 1 species
GAACGCUAGCUACAGGCUUAACACAUGCAAGUCGAGGGGCAGCAUGGUCUUAGCUUGCUAAGGCCGAUGGCGACCGGCGCACGGGUGAGUAACACGUAUCCAACCUGCCGUCUACUCUUGGACAGCCUUCUGAAAGGAAGAUUAAUACAAGAUGGCAUCAUGAGUCCGCAUGUUCACAUGAUUAAAGGUAUUCCGGUAGACGAUGGGGAUGCGUUCCAUUAGAUAGUAGGCGGGGUAACGGCCCACCUAGUCUUCGAUGGAUAGGGGUUCUGAGAGGAAGGUCCCCCACAUUGGAACUGAGACACGGUCCAAACUCCUACGGGAGGCAGCAGUGAGGAAUAUUGGUCAAUGGGCGAGAGCCUGAACCAGCCAAGUAGCGUGAAGGAUGACUGCCCUAUGGGUUGUAAACUUCUUUUAUAAAGGAAUAAAGUCGGGUAUGCAUACCCGUUUGCAUGUACUUUAUGAAUAAGGAUCGGCUAACUCCGUGCCAGCAGCCGCGGUAAUACGGAGGAUCCGAGCGUUAUCCGGAUUUAUUGGGUUUAAAGGGAGCGUAGAUGGAUGUUUAAGUCAGUUGUGAAAGUUUGCGGCUCAACCGUAAAACUGCAGUUGAUACUGGAUAUCUUGAGUGCAGUUGAGGCAGGCGGAAUUCGUGGUGUAGCGGUGAAAUGCUUAGAUAUCACGAAGAACUCCGAUUGCGAAGGCAGCCUGCUAAGCUGCAACUGACAUUGAGGCUCGAAAGUGUGGGUAUCAAACAGGAUUAGAUACCCUGGUAGUCCACACGGUAAACGAUGAAUACUCGCUGUUUGCGAUAUACGGCAAGCGGCCAAGCGAAAGCGUUAAGUAUUCCACCUGGGGAGUACGCCGGCAACGGUGAAACUCAAAGGAAUUGACGGGGGCCCGCACAAGCGGAGGAACAUGUGGUUUAAUUCGAUGAUACGCGAGGAACCUUACCCGGGCUUAAAUUGCAGAUGAAUUACGGUGAAAGCCGUAAGCCGCAAGGCAUCUGUGAAGGUGCUGCAUGGUUGUCGUCAGCUCGUGCCGUGAGGUGUCGGCUUAAGUGCCAUAACGAGCGCAACCCUUGUUGUCAGUUACUAACAGGUUCCGCUGAGGACUCUGACAAGACUGCCAUCGUAAGAUGUGAGGAAGGUGGGGAUGACGUCAAAUCAGCACGGCCCUUACGUCCGGGGCUACACACGUGUUACAAUGGGGGGUACAGAGGGCCGCUACCACGCGAGUGGAUGCCAAUCCCAAAAACCUCUCUCAGUUCGGACUGGAGUCUGCAACCCGACUCCACGAAGCUGGAUUCGCUAGUAAUCGCGCAUCAGCCACGGCGCGGUGAAUACGUUCCCGGGCCUUGUACACACCGCCCGUCAAGCCAUGGGAGCCGGGGGUACCUGAAGUGCGUAACCGCGAGGAGCGCCCUAGGGUAAAACUGA